AACGAACGCUGGCGGCAGGCUUAACACAUGCAAGUCGAACGCGUGUAGCAAUACACGAGUGGCGCACGGGUGAGUAACGCGUGGAUAUCUGCCUUUUGGUUCGGAAUAACCCCGGGAAACUGGGGCUAAUACCGGAUGGUUCCUUCGGGAUAAAGAUUUAUCGCCAAAAGAUGAGUCCGCGUACGAUUAGCUAGUUGGUGAGGUAAUGGCUCACCAAGGCGACGAUCGUUAGCUGGUCNGAGAGGACGAUCAGCCACACUGGGACUGAGACACGGCCCAGACUCCUACGGGAGGCAGCAGUGGGGAAUUUUGGACAAUGGGGGCAACCCUGAUCCAGCCAUGCCGCGUGAGCGAAGAAGGCCUU
rnacentral:rRNA from 1 species